GUCAGGCGGGCGUUUUUCGGCAGCGCGGCGGCGGUGGCAUUGCUGACGGUGGUGUACCUGCUGCAGGGCGCGUUCGAUGCGAGUGCGUGGGCC
rnacentral:tRNA from 2 species